AUAACAGUACCGCGCACUACUAGUUUGGUAAUUGGAAUGAGUACAAUCUAAAUCCCUCAAUGAGGAUCCAUUGGAGGGCAAGUCAAGUGCUAGCAGUCGCGGUAAUUCUAGCUCCAA
rnacentral:rRNA from 1 species